rnacentral:sRNA from 1 species
AAAAUGUAUUUCCUUAUUUUCUUUCUUUUAAAGGCCCUUCCUUCUACCAUGAUUAUAGUAGCAGUUUAUUGUCCUGUGAUAGCUGCUGUUUUCAUUGUUCUGAAGAUGGUCAACUAUCGACUACACAGAGCACUUGAUGCUGGAGAAGUUGUAGAUAGGACUGCAAAUGAGUUCACGGAUCAGCGAACCAAAGCUGAACAAGGCAACUGUUCAACCAGGAGAAAAGACAGCAAUGGACCGAGUGAUCCUGGUGGAGGGAUUGAAAUGUCUGAGUUCAUCCGAGAGGCCACACCCCCAGUUGGUUGCAGUUCCAGAAAUUCUUAUGCCGGUCUAGAUCCAAGCAACCAGAUUGGAUCUGGUUCCUCGCGUCUUGGAACAGCAGCAACUAUUAAAGGAGAUACAGACACUGCUAAGACUUCUGAUGAUAUCAGUUUAAGUCUGGGCCAAAGUUCUAGUCUUUGUAAGGAAGGAAGUGAAGAACAAGGUAAGAACAUUAUACUUUACCAUGAUGUCAUAUACUGUGGUGACCAGUUAAUUUGUAGAAUAUGCUGCAUACAAUUUGGCAGAAGUUUAUAACAAUUUAAUAUGAUAUUUAAGGAAACAUUAACAUAAAAUGUUAUGGGGAUAGUAGUAAUACAGAGUU